rnacentral:tRNA from 1 species
GCGGGCCUGGCUGACGAGACCGCGGCGUUCUCCGCGCCGCGGUCUCGUCAUCGCGGAUGAUCGGCGGCACCGCGCCGUCCGCCCGCA